AACGCGAAGAACCUUACCUACUCUUGACAUCCAGAGAACUUAGCAGAGAUGCUUUGGUGCCUUCGGGAACUCUGAGACAGGUGCUGCAUGGCUGUCGUCAGCUCGUGUUGUGAAAUGUUGGGUUAAGUCCCGCAACGAGCGCAACCCUUAUCCUUUGUUGCAGCGGUUAGGCCGGGAACUCAAAGGAGACUGCCAGUGAUAAACUGGAGGAAGGUGGGGAUGACGUCAAGUCAUCAUGGCCCUUACGAGUAGGGCUACACACGUGCUACAAUGGCGCAUACAAAGAGAAGCGACCUCGCGAGAGCAAGCGGACCUCAUAAAGUGCGUCGUAGUCCGGAUUGGAGUCUGCAACUCGACUCCAUGAAGUCGGAAUCGCUAGUAAUCGUGGAUCAGAAUGCCACGGUGAAUACGUUCCCGGGUCUUGUACACACCG
rnacentral:rRNA from 1 species